AUUGAAGCGGAAGCUGCCAGUGUCUAGUGAUACAACCUUGGGCUUGCAGGCAUCACCGGAGUAAUAGGAAAACACAUUAUAGCAGGCUCAAACACAGAGGCAGCUGUCUUUGCAUCAGUCUGACUUGGCUUUCAGAAAUGAAACUUGACAUUUUGUACCUGCCAGGCAGUCACUGUGCCACUGAACCAUAUCCUUGGCCCUGAUCUGUUAUGAUCCAACUGGAGGCCUAGAGCACACAACAGUGACUCAUGCAAGUCUCUUUCAUGAAUCUGCGCUGGGAAGGCCCCAAGGUGAGUGGUGGAAGCUAGAAUGUCUGUGCAAGUGAGAUGAAGGAUGUGUGCCAGCAGGCGGAGCGUUCUUCGCUGGAGCCAAGAAGCAAUGCUGUAAACGAGGAUCCGGGAUUCCAAAAAGUAACACAGCUAUUCUCAGUGACAAGUUUCUGACUUCCUCUGAUGAUGAAAAACAGCUGAGUUCAUAACAGGAAGCCAGAAUGACAAGCUUCUCCUGAAGACUGAACUGCACACAAUCCUCCCCUCUGGAGCUAGGAAGCAAUAAAGACCAGUGCUUCCCCAAAGUGAACCACAGCCAUUCUCAGCAACAAGGUCCUGAGCUCCUCUGCCAAUGAGAACAGCCAAGUUCAUAUCAGGAAAGAAGCUCAGCAAGUUCCUCCAGGAGAACCCACGGCAAUAGUAGAACCAGCAGCGCCAAACAACAGCUCUUCCUCUUAUUUAUGCUGGCAACAAUCCUCAGGUGAGCCAUCUACCCUCAGCACCAUGCUGAUUUUUCAGGUGUUGUUUAAAUGGCGGUCAGUUUUCAAUCCACCACACCUUGGUAUCUUCUUCGGUAGAUUAAUGAUGGAGUGUUUUCUAUGACAUUCUUUUGGAGUCUUUGUUUCAAUUACUACAUUAGAUUGCUAAUGAAAAUCAUUCUGAAAUCUUAUCUGGUAAUUCUGAAAGCAACAAACUGAACAUUUUGUAAUGAUAGUUAAAAUUUCUAAUAGGAGUAAGCACCUCACUGCAUUGUUAGCUAAAUCUAUCAAUUGGGGUAUUAGGAACUUUCUGUUUUAAAAACUGUUGCUCUGCAAAAUAAAGUGUUAACAGUUACCUUAUGUUAUUUUAAUAUUUCAGAGGAUUUAAUUGUGAUUUUUAUGAAUAAAAAUCACUCCUGUUAAAAGAUUUUCUUCAGUGGAGAAUAGACUUAAGUGUACCGAAUAAGAUUUAUGUUUAUUUUCUUUACCUGAAUUUCUGAGUGAAAUUUAAAGUACUUAUUUUAUACUAGCUAAUGUAACAAUAUUCAAUAAAUAUUUGGAGCAUUGUAAUGACUUUUUAAUAAUUUUAUGUAUGUGUAAAACUAAUAUAGUGCUGAAGUUUUACAUUUAGAUAGCAUCACCUCUGUCAGAAGUGUCUAAUUUUCAGUUUUAUUGAGACAGAAAGUAAUAACUAUUUCAAAAGAAACUUGCAUUCCUUUUAGAGGUGAUAAAUUUUUCCUAUAAAUUUCAGUGUUAAAAAUUUAUCAUUGGUGGUGUAAGACAGGAAUGAAUGUGGACAAAAGAAACAGGGUAAUCUGACAUUGUUGCAUUUUACUUACACUGUUUUAUUUCAGGGAUGUGACUGUCAUUAAAAAAGAUGGAUGUUGUGAUUAGUGUGAAUCUCAGCAGUAAAUUCACCAAAGUGCUGAAAAGACAAAGUGAAUGUGACAAUAGAAAGGGAAACAAUCUCCAGUUGUCUAGAGGCAUAGUAAUAAGGCUUGAUGAGUAAGACAAUAACCAUUUAUCCCAGAAGAUGAAAGGUACAGAAAUAGACCAAAUGCCACACCUAGUCUGUGUCCUACUUGAAAAUACAAAGUAAAAUAUAUUGAAGAUUCUAUUUGAACAGAUUCUAUCUGCUUGAAUCAUUAAUAUGAGUGAAUAACAGCAAGUAAUUGGAUUCAUACUAACACUUUAAUAUGAAUGCUAUAAAACGUACCAGCAUUAUUUACUAUGAAUAAAUUGCUAACAUUAUAUUUGGAGAAAUUAUAAUUUGCCUUUUAAGUACUUCUCCAAGGACAUUUUGUGGGAUGAAAUAAUAGUGUAAUUCCAUUUACUUUUUUACCAGUACAUGUUUGUGGUACAUAAUAAAUGUAUUUAUUACAUGGGGAAUUAGGCACUGUACACAUCACAUUUUAAAUCUUCUCACUUUCAUUUCCCCUGUCUUCUCUCCAUUUCUAGAUGUCCCUCCCAUCUAGAAUAGGACUACCUCCCAAUUUCCUAUUAUUUAUCUUACAUUUUUCUUUUAAAAUAUUUCUGCUCUGAGUUUUACCUAUAAGGAAAGCUGAUUUAUUUCUUUUAAGAUUGUAGUUUCAAGGUACAACUAUUUUUCUACAGAUGACUCAAAUUUACCUUUCUGGCAGAGCAGAACUCCAUUGUGUAUAUGUACCUGAUUUUCUUUAACCAUUUAUCUAUUACUGGACAAAUAGGCUGCUUCCAAGAUUUAGCUACUAGGAGUUGUGCUGCUGUGAACAUAGAUAUGCAUGCAUCACUGUAAUGUGUUUUCUUUAAUGCUUUUGGAAAGAUAUUUGAAGGCAAGUAGCUUCAUCAAAUAAAAUUUCUAGUUUUAGUUUUUUGAGGAAA